AAUAAACUUCACCAGCCCGCCAGACUAUUACAAGCGAAAGCCUAAAACUCAAAGGACUUGACGGUGUCCCAUAUUCAACCUAGAGGAGCCUGUCCUAUAAUCGAUGAUCCACGAUUCACCUCACCAUUUUUUGCCAAACAGCCUAUAUACCGCCGUCACAAGUUCACCUUUUGAAAGGAAAAAAGUGAACAAAAUAGCCCAGUGCUAGUAUGUCAGGUCAAGGUGUAGCUAAUAAACUGGUUUGAGAUGGGCUACAUUUCCUUUGUAAAGGAAACACGAACGGUCUUAUGAAAACCCACCAGAAGGAGGAUUUAGUAGUAAAGCGGGAUUAGCAAGUCUGCUUGAAUACACUGCCCUGGGACGCGUACACACCGCCCGUCACCCUCA
rnacentral:rRNA from 1 species